rnacentral:rRNA from 1 species
CCUACGGGAGACUGCAGUCGAGAAUCAUUCACAAUGGGGGAAACCCUGAUGGUGCGACGCCGCGUGGGGGAAUGAAGGUCUUCGGAUUGUAAACCCCUGUCAUGUGGGAGCAAAUUAAAAAGAUAGUACCACAAGAGGAAGAGACGGCUAACUCUGUGCCAGCAGCCGCGGUAAUACAGAGGUCUCAAGCGUUGUUCGGAAUCACUGGGCGUAAAGCGUGCGUAGGCUGUUUCGUAAGUCGUGUGUGAAAGGCGCGGGCUCAACCCGCGGACGGCACAUGAUACUGCGAGACUAGAGUAAGGGAGGGGGAACCGGAAUUCUCGGUGUAGCAGUGAAAUGCGUAGAUAUCGAGAGGAACACUCGUGGCGAAGGCGGGUUCCUGGACAUUAACUGACGCUGAGGCACGAAGGCCAGGGGAGCGAAAGGGAUUAGAUACCCGAGUAGUC